rnacentral:rRNA from 1 species
AGUGAACGCUGGCGGUAGGCCUAACACAUGCAAGUCGAACGGCAGCACAGUAAGAGCUUGCUCUUACGGGUGGCGAGUGGCGGACGGGAGAGGAAUACAUCGGAAUCUACUUUUUCGUGGGGGAUAACGUAGGGAAACUUACGCUAAUACCGCAUACGACCUACGGGUGAAAGCAGGGGAACUUCGCACCUUGCGCGAUUGAAUGAGCCGAUGUCGGAUUAGCUAGUUGGCGGGGUAAAGGCCCACCAAGGCGACGAUCCGUAGCUGGUCUGAGAGGAUGAUCAGCCACACUGGAACUGGGACACGGUCCAGACUCCUACGGGAGGCAGCAGUGGGGAAUAUUGGACAAUGGGCGCAAGCCUGAUCCAGCCAUACCGCGUGUGUGAAGAAGGCCUUCGGGUUGUAAAGCCCUUUUGUUGGGAAAGAAAAGCAGCAGGUUAAUACCCCGCUGUUCUGACGGUACCCAAAGAAUAAGCACCGGCUAACUUCGUG